rnacentral:rRNA from 1 species
AUGGUGGAGUCCCGGGCGGCGGCUGUGCAGGAGCUCCGGGCGAGGUUCGCGGCGGGGCAGACGCGGCCGGCGGAGUGGCGGGCGGCGCAGCUGCGAGGGGUUCUGCGGAUGGCCACGGAGAUGGAGGCGGAGAUAUGCGACGCCCUCCACGCCGACCUCGGCAAGCCCAAGACCGAAGCACACGUCCAUGAGCUAUCUCUGAUCAAGUCGUCGUGCUUGUUUGCCUUGAAGAAUCUCAAGAAAUGGAUGAAACCCCAGAAGGUUCCUGCAAAGCUCAUGAAUUUCCCCUCGACGGCGAGGAUUACGCCAGAGCCCCUCGGCCUCGUGCUCGUCAUCUCCGCCUGGAACUACCCUCUCUUGCUGUCCCUGGACCCGGUCAUCGGUGCGAUCGCCGCCGGCAACGCCGUUGCGCUGAAGCCGUCUGAGGGGGCACCAGCCAUGUCGUCGCUGCUGGCCGAGCUGCUGCCGCGGUUCGUGGACGGCACCUGCAUCAAGGUCAUCGAGGGCGGCGUCAAGGAGACCACCGCGCUCCUAAACCAGAAGUGGGACAAAAUCUUCUACACAGGCAACAGUAGAGUCGGACGCGUCGUGAUGGCCGCAGCGGCCAAGCAUCUGACGCCGGCCGUCUUGGAGCUCGGUGGCAAAUGCCCGGUGGUUGUCGAUUCAAACGUCGAUCUCCACAUUGCUGCCAAGAGGAUCGCUGCUGGCAAGUGGGGUUGCAACAAUGGCCAGGCCUGCAUUGCUCCUGAUUUCAUCAUCACCACACAGGCUUUUGCCCCAAAGCUGCUCGAGUCUUUGAAGAAAGUUUUGGAGAAGUUCUACGGGAAGGAUCCACUACUAUCAGCGGACUUGUCCCGCGUCGUGAAUGCCAGCCAUUUUGGCAGGCUCAAGGGCUUGAUGGACGAAGAGAUGGUCUCCGAUAUCGUGUUCGGCGGGCAGAGGGAUGAACAGCAGCUGAAGAUCGCCCCUACAAUAUUCCUAGAUGUCCCUCUCGAUUCCGCCAUCAUGAAGGAGGAAAUAUUCGGGCCCUUGCUUCCGAUCCUCACGGUUGACAAGAUCCACGAAAGCUUUGGUCUCAUCAACUCAAUGGCUAAGCCACUUGCAGCUUACCUCUUCACCAGGGACAGUGAGCUCCAGAACCAGUUCGAGGGGGCCAUUUCUGCAGGAGGAAUGCUCUUCAACGACACCAGCAUACAUCUCACAAACCCAUACCUGCCAUUUGGAGGAGUUGGGGAGAGCGGCACGGGCGCCUACCAUGGGAAGUUCAGCUUUGAUGCUUUCAGCCACAGGAAGGCAGUCAUGAAUCGAGGCUUCGCCGGGGAGGCCAGGGCUAGGUACCCGCCCUACUCGGCACCAAAGCUCAAGAUCCUCAAAGGAGUGCUUGAAGGCAAGCUGGGAGACAUGAUUCAGGCUAUCCUGGGGUUCCCAAGAGGGAAAUGA